UACGUAGGGGGCGAGCGUUGUCCGGAUUUAUUGGGCGUAAAGAGCGUGUAGGCGGCCAGGUAGGUCUGCUGUGAAAACUCGAGGCUCAACCUCGAGACGUCGGCGGAAACCAUCUGGCUAGAGUCCGGAAGAGGAGAGUGGAAUUCCUGGUGUAGCGGUGAAAUGCGCAGAUAUCAGGAAGAACACCCGUGGCGAAGGCGGCGACCUGGGUAGAUACUGACGCUGAGGUGCGAAAGCGUGGGGAGCAAACCGG
rnacentral:rRNA from 1 species